rnacentral:rRNA from 1 species
ACUGCUCAGUAACACGUAGGUAACCUACCCUCAGGAGUGAGAUAACCCCGGGAAAUGGGGCUAAUAUUAGAUAGAUAAAAGAUACUGGAAUGUUCUUUUAUCCAAAGCUUUUGCGCCUGAGGAUGGGCCUGCGUCCGAUUAGGUCGUUGGUGGGGUAAUGGCCCACCAAGCCUGCGAUCGGUACGGGCAGUGGAAGCUGAAGCCCGGAGUUGGGGACUGAGACAAGGCCCCAGGCCCUACGGGGCGCAGCAGGCGCGAAACCUCUGCAAUGCGGGAAACCGUGACAGGGGGAUCCCAAGUGCUCAUGCAUUGCAUGGGCUGUUCUUUGGUCUAAAUAACCAGAGGAGUAAGGGGUGGGCAAGACCGGUGCCAGCAGCCGCGGUAAUACGAU